rnacentral:rRNA from 1 species
GACGAACGCUGGCGGCGUGCUUAACACAUGCAAGUCGAACGGAAAGGCCCUGCUUUUGUGGGGUGCUCGAGUGGCGAACGGGUGAGUAACACGUGUGUAACCUGCCCUUGACUUUGGGGUAACUUCAGGAGACUGGGGCUAAUACCGGAUAGGAGAUCCUGCUGCAUGGUGGGGGUUGGAAAGUCUCGGCGGUUGGGGAUGGACUCGCGGCUUAUCAGCUUGUUGGUGGGGUAGUGGCUGACCCAGGCUUUGACGGGUAGGCGGCCUGAGAGGGUGACCGGCGACAAGGGGACUAAGAGACGGCCCAGACGGCUACGUGAGGCAACAGUGGGGAAUAUGGCACAAUGGGCGCAAGCGGGAUGCAGCAGCGCCGGGGGCGGAAUGACGGCCUUCGGGGUAAAAACCGCUGUCGCCUGUGACGAAGCGGGAGUGACGGUAAUGAGUAAAGAAGCACCGGCUAACUACGUG